rnacentral:siRNA from 1 species
AGAACUUAACCGCAACCGGAUC